rnacentral:rRNA from 1 species
ACUCCUACGGGAGGCAGCAGUGGGGAAUAUUGGACAAUGGGCGCAAGCCUGAUCCAGCCAUGCCGCGUGAGUGAUCAAGGCCCUAGGGUUGUAAAGCUCUUUCACCGGUGAAGAUAAUGACGGUAACCGGAGAAGAAGCCCCGGCUAACUUCGUGCCAGCAGCCGCGGUAAUACGAAGGGGGCUAGCGUUGUUCGGAUUUACUGGGCGUAAAGCGCACGUAGGCGGACUAUUAAGUCAGGGGUGAAAUCCCGGGGCUCAACCCCGGAACUGCCUUUGAUACUGGUAGUCUUGAGUUCGAGAGAGGUGAGUGGAAUUCCGAGUGUAGAGGUGAAAUUCGUAGAUAUUCGGAGGAACACCAGUGGCGAAGGCGGCUCACUGGCUCGAUACUGACGCUGAGGUGCGAAAGCGUGGGGAGCAAACAGGAUUAGAUACCCCUGUAGUCCCAU